AAGAGACUGAUACCGAAAGUUGGUCGUAGUUUUCAAGAUGGCGUCUGUAAAUCUCCACGCGAGAAAUCGCAACGAAGACAAAAUAAUGUUAUUUUAUUGUUUUGACGAUGCAAAAGCUUACAUAAAAAGAAAUGAAAUUGAUACGAAUAACCUACAUAAUUGGUUACAGCACAAAAAACUUUGGUAAUUCAGUUUUUACUUCAUCCUCCCAUAAGGUUUGUUGGGUCCAUGGGGUGAAUCCUUAUAUGUAUGUGAGCCUUGGACAUCAGGUUCUGAAAUGCCACCAUGGUGCAGACAAGAAUAAGAAGAGAAAACUGGAAAAGGAGAAGACAAAGACAGUUAGCAGUGAGCAACAUUCAUAUGCUAAAUAGAAAACAAGGCAUGCAGUGCAGCUCUCCAAAAAAUUGGACUGUCCUGCUUCUAUCAUUCUGAAGGAAGUGUUGAUAUUCACCCCUGUAGAGGGUUCAUCAAGCGAGCUGGACAAAAAAAUGGCUGCUUCUAAUGUGAGGAGUGAUCUGAGUAAAGGCAUCAAGAAGAUAAUGGUGGUGUUUCCUAACAUCGAACACAAGUACCAUACAAGUGGAGAGAACGCUGGGCUGUUGCAACGUAUCGACAGUGAUGUUGCCUCAAAAAUUAAAGAACUUGUGGUGGAAGAGGGCGUUGCAAAUGUUGAAGAAAUGCAACGCCAUCUGACCUCAUUUGUUAUGAAGAAUGUAACACCUGCUCCAUCAAGAACUAAAAGGAGAUUCGCCCCUACAAAAAAAGUGAUCAGAUAUCACAUGAAUAAGGCAGCAAAGAAGGGUUGUGAUAGCAAUGAUGACCAACACAACUUAGUUCAGCUUGUGAGUGUGAUUAGUGUGUAAUUAACAGUUACUUCAAUACAGAUAUAUAUAUUUAUCACAUGCCAUACCCUGCUUCCCCUUGUAAUAUAACCAUUACGAAUAUUUUUAUCUUACACAUGUGUAAUAUACUUUUUAAGGAUUUUCAUUGGCUUAUUUUCGUUUGAUUGACCAAUCGCAUUUUGUUAUGUUGCUGAAAUAACAUUGCAAAGUCAAAUGACGUCACGAAAUGUAAACAGCAUUUCGGAUUUAUCAUUAAGUUUGCGAAAAUAUUUUAAUAAUUUUUUGUGUCCGGAGCCAUAUCUUGGAAGUGCUUUGGCGGAUUUCAUUGAAACUUGGUAUGAGUAUAAAUAUGGAUAAGAGGAUGAUACGUAACAUUUGACAGAGUUAUACAUCUCAUUAAGCGAAAUUUAAGAAAUUGUGUUAUUAUAUUUUCAUAUAUUACCUUCGGCCUAAGAUGCUAAGGUCAUACAUUGUUUUGUAAACGAAACAUGCGACAUAAUUUUCCUUUAUCAUUUACAUUUGUUGUAAAU